rnacentral:rRNA from 1 species
UACGGAGGGUGCGAGCGUUGUCCGGAAUCAUUGGGCGUAAAGGGCGCGUAGGUGGCCUGGUCAGUCUGUGGUGAAAGCGCGGGGCUCAACUCCGCGUCGGCCGUGGAUACUGCUGGGCUGGAGCACUGUAGAGGCAGGCGGAAUUCCGGGUGUAGCGGUGGAAUGCGUAGAGAUCCGGAAGAACACCGGUGGCGAAGGCGGCCUGCUGGGCAGUUGCUGACACUGAGGCGCGACAGCGUGGGGAGCAAACAGG